CAGGUUAGUAUCGAUCUGUGGUCUAUACAAAACACAUUAAUUAAAUUUUUUACACAAAAUUACUAAUAAGAUUCUAAUUUUAUCAGCUUUGUCCAUUUUGAGCUGUUUUCGGAAUUAUACAACCGUAAAUAUUUAACAAGCAAAAUUGGAGCCUCCUGCACAAUCAACAAGAAUCCAGCAAGUGGUUUCUGAGUGAGCAAACAACUAAACACUUUUCUUUUCCAGCAGCCAUUGUAGAGCACAUAGCGGUGAAACCAGCUUACAAACGUGCUGGAACUCAGUUUGGGUUGCUAGGUAAUGAGUGGAAUUCCCUGGGGUUGCUAGGUAACAGCACAGUGCCCAUUGAAUGAGACUCUACUAUCAGGAAGUUUUUUAAACGGCACCAAAAAACAGUAAUUUAUUGCCAAAAACCACCUGGAUGGAUUUGGUUUAGUGCUUUAGCUUUUUCUAUCAGUAUAAAAACAUACAACAUGUGAAUUGUGCAUACUAGCUCCCUUUAAGGUAAUUUUUCAAUCUUUUCCAGAUCCACAGAUGAGGUCAGAGAAUCUGUAUUUAUUUGUGUGUGAAUGUUUUGCGUAAGUCAGGAGGGCAGCUCAUCCUGAGGAGAUUCACACUUUCACAGGCUGGAGAAACAGCAGCAGGAGAAUCUAAAUCCUCAUUUAACCUCCUGAGCGUUGCUUGGCGCGCUGCCGGACGGAGCGACAGCUGCUCUUUGAGAGGAGCUUCCUUAGCAACGCCGGCUUUUAAAGCACACAGCUGCAGACGGGAGAAAGGAAGAAGGUCCAUUCAUAAGAAACAAGUUACAACAUCAUCUGCAAACGUUUUCACCCAGCAGGCAGGAUUAUCAGCAGUUUAUGAAUGAAUUACUGUAAACAACAUUUCUGAAGUAUCCCGACCUCCAUGACUCCUGCAGCACACCUCACUGCUGUCUCACCACACCUCCUACUUCUUCUUCUCAGACAAACCUUAAACUACGAUGCCUUGUAGUGAAUACGCUA